UCUUGGGCAGGGAUUCUGGGCCAGAAUGAGCCUGGCUGGUUUGGGGAAGUUUAUUUUGGAAGCUGGGAUGAUGCAAAAUUAAGUGGGGAGGAAAAAAUAGAUGAGGCGACCGAGAGGGUCUGUCUGUGGCUGGCGGGGCUGUAAGUGGCCAGCGAGAAGUGCGUUGUUGGGUAAACAGAUGGGGGUGGCAGCUUUCUGCACGCUCGCUAUAAAUAUCCCGCAGUUUGCCGCCCCUGCUGGGGUUUCCUGGCACCGUGGGUGUGGAGAUCAAGGUACAGACACAGGGCACUUCCGGAGUGGCAGAGGGUGGCCAGGGCCCUGCUCAGAUCCCAGCCUCCUGGGGGUGGAGUGGGCACCGGGAACUGAGGCUGAGGCCCGAGUGGGGGCGGGAGAUGCUUCUUUGCUAUUAACUGGCUGUGGUUCUUGGGCAAGCCCUGUGACUUCCGUGGGCCUCAAUUUCUUCACCUGUAAGAUGGGCAUGAUAAAAUGAGGCAGGGCAUGUGUCGCUGCUGGCACAGGGACAGGCACCCUGGAGACACUCAGGAAAUGAUCAAGUGCUUAGGCGCUGUGUGACCUGGGCGAGUUCUCUCGUUGCCCUGAGUCUCAAUUUCUUCAUUUCUUCUUCCAAAAUAUGGGGAGAAGAACCACUGUCUGGAGGCUGAAAUGGAACCAUGGGUCUGGCACUGGACUUGCAAUGUGUGUGGUAUUUCAGGACAAAGUUGGGGCCCGGCUGGAGCCCUCCCCCAGCCCUCUGCAGCUGCUAUGGGAUUUGUCUCAUCUCUGCAGUAUGGUAGUGAUGAUAAUGGUGAUAAUAGCAGCCAGGCCCACUGCGAGCCUUUUGGUGACCCAAGGGCUUUGUAAACUGUUAUCUGAGUUCUUCGUUAUCUCAGCUGAUUUUCCCACCUCCUCACCUCUUACAGAUAAAGAAUCCGAGGCGCAGAGAGGUGGCACUGCUGGAAGGAACAGAGCCAGAUCCACAAGAUCCUUCAUUCCGACAAUAAAUAUUCACUGAAGAUCUGCCACAUGUCAGGCCCCAGCCCAGGUGCUGGGGAUUUAGCAGAAAACCAGCCAGACCCAUUUCCUGCAUCCAUGGAGUGCACAGGCUGGUGGGGGAGAUGGGCUAGAAAUCCAUGAACCAAAUUAUACUGAGACGAGCGAGCACCGAGCGCCUAGCGUGGACUGCGACCGCUCGGGCUCCUGUAUCUGUGACAGAUGUGCUUGGGCUCCUCGUAGGACCGAGGGACUUUGUUAUCCACACCACUGGCCUUGAAGUUGGCUGCUACCUGAUGAGAUGAAUUAAGAACAUACCAGCACUUUGGGAGGCUGAAGUGGGUGGAUCACGAGAUCAGGAAAUUGAGGUCCAGUGAGGUGUCUUGGCCAGGACACUCAGUCAGGACGUGACAUGAACACAGGACUGUCUGACUUCAAAUCCAGUGCUCCUUCCCCUGCAGUCCCCACCCCACUGACUGGGGGACAGUGCUCCAGGCAGCUGGAAUGGGACACGGUUUGUGUGGCAGCGAGAUAUCCAGGCUCUCCUCCUUCCAGAUCUAAGGUAGGAAUGCACUUCCCACCCCCUUGAAGUUAGAGGUGGCUGUGUGACUGGCUUCGGCCAGCAAAAUGUGACAGCAAGCAACAACUAGCAGGAUGGGGGUGACUUGGGACCUGGGUGGGGACAACACAGAGCAGAUGGGGCUUUGGGGUCUCUCCCACUGCUCUCCCAUCCAUAGGCAUGCGGUGUGAACAGGAGCAAUCCCUUCACAGUGUGGAGCCACCGGCUUUGGAGUUGUUUGUGGCUGCAGUGUGUAACCCAGCAUCUCCUGACUGAUGUUAUAGGUUCUGCCGGAGGGGCAAAUGCGGGCAGCAAGGGCUUGCAGCCCUGGAAUUAACAAAUGAGAUUCAAACCCAGGUCUGCUUGACUAGGAAGGCCGGCCCUCUCCAUGGUGCCAGGACAACUCUUUGGAGAAGAUGCCCCUCUCUCUGCCUGCCUGAAUCUUCUCCGUCCACAAAGGCCUGCUCCAUCCUCCCUCCUCCAGGAAGCUUUCCCUGACUGUCCCCGGGCCCAGCCAGGGUGUCUGGGGGGCUGGAGAGACCCACAGAGCCCUGAUCACCGUGGCUGGCCCGUAAGUGUGGCGACUGAGUCCCAGUCUGGAGGCACAGCUGGACUUUCCCAGAGAGAACUGAGGCAUUGUGGGAAUUUCCCAGCUGUGACCCCAGGACCCUGAUUGCCCAGAAUGGCUCCAAGUUCACAUAUCUAGGGACCGUCACCAAGACUCCUGUAUCUAUAUUAAACUCGGUAAAUGUGA